AUUGAACGCUGGCGGCAGGCCUAACACAUGCAAGUCGAGCGAGCGGCGGACGGGUGAGUAAUGUCUGGGAAACUGCCUGAUGGAGGGGGAUAACUACUGGAAACGGUAGCUAAUACCGCAUACCAUCAGAUGUGCCCAGAGGGGAUUAGCUAGUAGGUUGGGUAACGGCUCACCUAGGCGACGAUCCCUAGCUGGUCUGAGAGGAUGACCAGCCAAACUGGAACUGAAACACGGUCCCGACUCGUCCGGUAGGCAGCAGGGGGAAAUAUUGCACAAUGGGCGAAAGCCUGAUGCAGCCAUGCCGCGUGUGUGAAGAAGGCCUGCGGGUUGUAAAGCACUUUCAGCGGGGAGGCGUUGCCCGCAGAAGAAGCACCGGCUAACUCCGUGCCAGCAGCCGCGGUAAUUC
rnacentral:rRNA from 1 species